GGUACUUUAAGGAAACUACUUGAAGAGCUUCACAUGCGCCUUCUUGAGUUUGAAGAGUAUGAGAACUGAUGGAUCCCUGUGGAAUGACGGUUGUCAUUACAGGCAGGUAGCGUGGUCCACCCGGCUCUCCAGUCUGCACACCGGCACUAAGUCAAUGUUCUCAGAGUACUGCUUGGAUCACAUCCUUUUAGCCUUUUCUCAAAAACCUUCAGGGUUCCUUCUUACCAAGUUGAAGGAAGUGCCUCUUCAGAAUGGCCCCAGCGUGCUUCUGUGUCCUACUGGUCUCCUACUCGUCCGGGAUCCAGCCAAAAUCCUCUGCUUGCUCUCUCCGAAGGUGCUUUACCUUUCUGCCUCCAUGCUUUCGCUCCUGCUCUUCUCCCAAUACCCUCCUCAUCCUUCUCUGCCUCUAGAAAACCUACUUACCACUCAAGACCCAUCUCUAACACUACUUUCUCCAUCAAGGCUUUUGAAUGUGACCACCCUCCUUAAAAUCCUUUCACCAUUCAUGCUAUUUUUGUGGCAUCUGCCGGACUCUUUCCAUGUUGGGUUAUCCGUGUGCCUCUCUUA
rnacentral:lncRNA from 1 species